AUGAACGCUAGCUACAGGCUUAACACAUGCAAGUCGAGGGGCAGCAUUUUAGUUUGCUUGCAAACUGAAGAUGGCGACCGGCGCACGGGUGAGUAACACGUAUCCAACCUGCCGAUAACUCCGGAAUAGCCUUUCGAAAGAAAGAUUAAUACCGGAUAGCAUACGAAUAUCGCAUGAUAUUUUUAUUAAAGAAUUUCGGUUAUCGAUGGGGAUGCGUUCCAUUAGUUUGUUGGCGGGGUAACGGCCCACCAAGACUACGAUGGAUAGGGGUUCUGAGAGGAAGGUCCCCCACAUUGGAACUGAGACACGGUCCAAACUCCUACGGGAGGCAGCAGUGAGGAAUAUUGGUCAAUGGGCGAGAGCCUGAACCAGCCAAGUAGCGUGAAGGAUGAAGGCUCUAUGGGUCGUAAACUUCUUUUAUAUGGGAAUAAAGUUUUCCACGUGUGGAAUUUUGUAUGUACCAUAUGAAUAAGGAUCGGCUAACUCCGUGCCAGCAGCCGCGGUAAUACGGAGGAUCCGAGCGUUAUCCGGAUUUAUUGGGUUUAAAGGGAGCGUAGGUGGAUUGUUAAGUCAGUUGUGAAAGUUUGCGGCUCAACCGUAAAAUUGCAGUUGAAACUGGCAGUCUUGAGUACAGUAGAGGUGGGCGGAAUUCGUGGUGUAGCGGUGAAAUGCUUAGAUAUCACGAAGAACUCCGAUUGCGAAGGCAGCUCACUAGACUGUCACUGACACUGAUGCUCGAAAGUGUGGGUAUCAAACAGGAUUAGAUACCCUGGUAGUCCACACAGUAAACGAUGAAUACUCGCUGUUUGCGAUAUACAGUAAGCGGCCAAGCGAAAGCAUUAAGUAUUCCACCUGGGGAGUACGCCGGCAACGGUGAAACUCAAAGGAAUUGACGGGGGCCCGCACAAGCGGAGGAACAUGUGGUUUAAUUCGAAGCAACGCGAAGAACCUUACCAGGUCUUGACAUCGAUCUAAAGGCUCCAGAGAUGGAGAGAUAGCUAUAGAGAAGACAGGUGGUGCAUGGUUGUCGUCAGCUCGUGUCGUGAGAUGUUGGGUUAAGUCCCGCAACGAGCGCAACCCUUAUUGCCAGUUACUACGUUAAGAGGACUCUGGCGAGACUGCCGUUGACAAAACGGAGGAAGGUGGGGAUGACGUCAAAUCAUCAUGCCCCUUAUGACCAGGGCUACACACGUGCUACAAUGGCGUAAACAAAGGGAAGCAGAGCCGCGAGGCCGAGCAAAUCUCAAAAAUAACGUCUCAGUUCGGACUGUAGUCUGCAACCCGACUACACGAAGCUGGAAUCGCUAGUAAUCGCAGAUCAGAAUGCUGCGGUGAAUACGUUCCCGGGUCUUGUACACACCGCCCGUCACACCAUGGGAGUUGGGAAUGCCCGAAGCCAGUGACCUAACCGAAAGGAAGGAACUGUCGAAGGCAGGCUCGAUAACUGGGGUG
rnacentral:rRNA from 1 species